rnacentral:rRNA from 1 species
ACCGAAUAGAUACCCAGGUAGUCCACGCCGUAAACUAUGAACGCUAGCCGUUGGCGAGCUUGCUCGUCAGUGGCGCAGCUAACGCAUUAAGCGUUCCGCCUGGGGAGUACGGCCGCAAGGUUGAAACUCAAAGAAAUUGACGGGGGCCCGCACAAGCGGUGGAGCAUGUGGUUUAAUUCGACGCAACGCGCAGAACCUUACCAGGGUUUGACAUCCCGAGACCGCUGCUGAAAGGCAGUUUCCCGCAAGGGCUCGGAGACAGGUGCUGCAUGGCUGUCGUCAGCUCGUGUCGUGAGAUGUUGGGUUAAGUCCCGCAACGAGCGCAACCCUCGCCUUUAGUUGCCAUCAUUAAGUUGGGCACUCUAGAGGGACCGCCGGCGACAAGCCGGAGGAAGGUGGGGAUGACGUCAAGUCCUCAUGGCCCUUACACCCUGGGCUACACACGUGCUACAAUGGCGGUGACAGUGAGCAGCUAACUCGCGAGAGUAUGCUAAUCUCCAAAAACC